rnacentral:lncRNA from 1 species
GAAAGUUAGAAGAAGAAGACUAGAAGAAGAAGAUUAUUAUGAUGCGAAAAUAUGCAUGGAUUGUCAAAACUUGCAUUAUCCUACUAUCACUAGUACAACAAAGCUGUAGGUUGGCAUAGUUCAUGAACCAUGUACAUCAUGACAAAUACAAUAUCAUCCAAUGCUCGACUAUGAACAAAAUUGAACAAAUACACCUCACGAAGGCAGAGCAUAGAACCAACAAGCAAGUCGGAGGGGUAUAAGAGGACUUGAGGAGCUCACUGGAGGGGGUUCUAGCCUAGGCCGAGCUUCAUCACCAUGGAUGCGGCUAGGGGAAUCAGACGAGUCUACCAUCAUAGGAGCAGCACCACCACCACCGCCAAAACUGGAAUGGCCGGAGCGAAUCACCAUCAUAUGGUCACCACCACCGAAUGAUCUUGCAAGGUGUAAAGUCUCCACAUUUCAGUACAAACUAGUGGCGUCAAGAAACAAGCAGUAGCAGGCAGAAGGUAAAUUCUAGUAACUGAUGAUUAGUAGACAAAAACAAGAAAUAGAUCGCACCAGUAGCAAAGUCCACUGCCGCAAGUCCUAAACAUUUCAUUCAGAUCAUAUAUGAAACUCACUAGUUCCUCCAUUCUGAAAGUUGGGACGAUAGAUGCCUUCAAGUCUGCGAGUGCAAGAGCGAGGUGGGGAUCAGUAAAUAUCAAGGAUGUUGUUAUUCUGGGUUAAGCUAAGUAAAAAAAUCAAGGGCAUAACGGAUUCAAGUCAACAAAAAUUAACAUCUGUACAUCUUGUGUAGACUAUCAUCAUUUACUAGUAAGAUGCCCGUGCUACGCUACAGAAUCACAAAAUAUCGGGUGUAACUUGUUCACUUAAGUGUCAAGACCCUACUGAACAAUAAAAGAUGUACCAAGACAUCAUAAAAAUGAUGCCAUGUUUUUGAUAAAUACACAUAGAGCAAAAUCAAAUAUAUGGUUUCCGACCGAUGAACCUCCUCUUCCAAGUCAAACAUUUUCUUCUCAAUUUUUCACGUUGCAGAAGACUUGUUGUUCUCCCUACCCAGCUUUCUCCUUGCUGUCCCAUACCGAGGGGGCAAAGCAUAUGCGGCAAAUAGAAAAUCCGUCCCCAAACACUUGGCAAUCUAAGCUACAGAUGCAUAAUGCAGAACCAAUCUAUGUUAGAGAGUGGAGAUGGAGAAAGCUCACCGGCUGAUAUCACCAGGACCUCCUAUGGCAUAUGGAGCUUACAUCUAAUAUAUCAAGAUCAAAGUCUUCUCACCAUUGCAGGCUAGAUUACACAUCUAAGUAGCGGCUGCCACUGCAUGGCCAUCAGACUCCUGCUGCAGCACCGAUCACUUGUCACCAUGCUCAGGAGUACCUACCAGCAGCAUACAUAUCUACAUAUCAUGAAUCGAGCACCUAGUAGCAGCAACUGUAAUCAGUAAGAAAGUAACAUCAUGAACAAAUAGCAGCAACUAUAAUCAGUAAGAAAGUAACAUUAUGAACAAAACCAGUAGCGGCAUGAACAAAAUUGCAGCGGUAGGAUUACUGCUACUACUUUCCUCUAUGAUCCCUUUAUAUAUAUGCAAAAGCAGUACAUCAGGGCAGAGCAGAAAAAUUAACAACAUUAGAGCAGGCUUGAUGCACUCAUUGGCCAGCUAGCCAUUCACGCCCUCCUCACACGCAGCCACUCCCCAACGUCCACGCCUCCUACCUGUCCGUCUUCUUCCUCCGCCCCCAAGAAAUCCAGCUCUACUCAAGCUACACUGCACACGCCUGGGAGAGAGGAAAAGGGAGGAGAAGGGGGAACUCCUGCAUGCCAUCCUAGCGUUCAGGCGCACGCGCACACACAUAUAGCUCAGCCUGUAAGUGGGACGACCUGCGGGCGUCCCACAUCCUGCCACAUCUGCCCACUUAAUUACGUGGGAUUAAACGGGCUGCCCACUUAAUUUAAGUGGGAUUAUGUGGGCUGCCACAUGCCCACAUACUCCAUGACAACAAAAACAGCAAUUGCAAGCUAGUUGCACUACAUAACGUGUCCAGGCUAUAAAGGAUACAUAAAUUGAGCACUGGCCGUUUGGAAUUUUUAUCAGCCACCGUUGAACAUGCCAAAAUAAUCCACAAAUGACACACUAGCAGUACCGAAUUUGAGCACUAC